rnacentral:ncRNA from 1 species
UUGCAAUACAAAACUAGUUCAGUACGAGAGGAACUGAUGGUUCAGACAUUUUGUUCUAUGUUUGGCUGAGAUGCUAAUGGUAUGAAGUUACCAUCUGUAGGAUUAUGACUGAAUGCUUCUAAAUCAGAAUCUCCCAUUAACGGUAA